AGGGGUGUAGCCAAGUGGUAAGGCAAGGGACUUUGACUCCCUCAUUCGCUGGUUCGAGUCCAGCCAUCCCUGCCA
rnacentral:tRNA from 4 species